rnacentral:rRNA from 1 species
GAGUUUGAUCCUGGCUCAGGAUGAACGCUGGCGGCGUGCCUAACACAUGCAAGUCGAACGGACUUAAACCGAAGCCUAGUGAAGUUUAAGUUAGUGGCGGACGGGUGAGUAACGCGUGGACAACCUGCCGUAUGCUGGGGGAUAACAGCCGGAAACGGCUGCUAAUACCGCAUAAGCGCACAGUACCGCAUGGUACGGUGUGAAAAGAUUUAUCGGCAUACGAUGGAUCCGCGUCCGAUUAGCCAGUUGGCGGGGCAACGGCCCACCAAAGCGACGAUCGGUAGCCGGCCUGAGAGGGCGGACGGCCACAUUGGGACUGAGACACGGCCCAAACUCCUACGGGAGGCAGCAGUGGGGAAUAUUGCACAAUGGGGGGAACCCUGAUGCAGCGACGCCGCGUGAGUGAAGAAGUAUUUCGGUACGUAAAGCUCUAUCAGCAGGAAAGAAAAUGACGGUACCUGACUAAGAAGCCCCGGCUAACUACGUGCCAGCAGCCGCGGUAAUACGUAGGGGGCAAGCGUUAUCCGGAUUUACUGGGUGUAAAGGGAGCGUAGACGGCAGUGCAAGUCCGGAGUGAAAGCCCACGGCCCAACCGUGGGACUGCUCUGGAAACUGUGCUGUUGGAGUGCGGGAGGGGCAGGCGG